CGCGUAGGCGGCUUUAUAAGUCUGGAGUGAAAGUCCUCUUUUCAAGGGAGGAAUUGCUUUGGAAACUAUAGAGCUUGAGUGCAGGAGAGGUUAUCGGAAUUCCCGGUGUAGCGGUGAAAUGCGUUGAUAUCAAGAAGAACACCGGUGGCGAAGGCGGCUCUCUGGAAUGUUACUGACACUGAGGCACGAAAGCUGGGGGAGCAAACA
rnacentral:rRNA from 1 species